GACGGAGGGCGCAAGCGUUGUUCGGAAUUACUGGGCGUAAAGCGCGGGCAGGCGGUCUGUUAAGUCGUUUGUGAAAAUCCGGGGCUCAACCCCGGAAAUGCGUACGAUACUGGCAGGCUGGAGACUGGUAGAGGCUAGCGGAAUUCCUGGUGUAGCGGUGGAAUGCGUAGAUAUCAGGAAGAACACCUGUGGCGAAGGCGGCUAGCUGGGCCAGUUCUGACGCUCAUACGCGAAAGCGUGGGGAGCAAACAGG
rnacentral:rRNA from 1 species